AUUGAACGCUGGCGGCAGGCUUAACACAUGCAAGUCGAGCGAGCGGCGGACGGGUGAGUAAUGUCUGGGAAACUGCCUGAUGGAGGGGGAUAACUACUGGAAACGGUAGCUAAUACCGCAUACCAUCAGAUGUGCCCAGGUGGGAUUAGCUAGUAGGUGGGGUAAUGGCUCAUCUAGGCGACGAUCCCUAGCUGGUCUGAGAGGAUGACCGGCCACACUGGAACUGAGACACGGUCCAGACUCCUACGGGAGGCAGCAGUGGGGAAUAUUCGGCAAUGGACGCAAGCCUGAUGCAGCCAUGCCGCGUGUGUGAAGAAGGCCUUCGGAUUGGAAAGCACUUUCAGCGAGGAGGCGUUACUCGCAGAAGAAGCACCGGCUAACUCCGUGCCAGCAGCCGCGGUAAUUC
rnacentral:rRNA from 1 species